rnacentral:rRNA from 1 species
UACGUAGGUGGCAAGCGUUGUCCGGAUUUAUUGGGUUUAAAGGGUGCGUAGGCGGCUUUUUAAGUCAGUGCUGAAAUAUCCCGGCUUAACCGGGAGGGUGGCAUUGAUACUGAAGAGCUUGAGUUCAGUCGAGGUAGGCGGAAUUGACGGUGUAGCGGUGAAAUGCUUAGAUAUCGUCAAGAACACCGAUAGUGUAGACAGCUUACUAGGCUGAAACUGACGCUGAGGCACGAAAGUGUGGGGAUCAAACAGG